rnacentral:tRNA from 1 species
ACUUGGAACGCCUGGCGGUCAGGCAAUCGGCUAAUCACCGAUGCAGGCGGGUUCGACUCCCGCUCCAGAAC